rnacentral:rRNA from 1 species
UACAAAAAGUGCAAACGUUACUCGGAAUUAUUGGACGUAAAGCGCACGUAGACGAUCUGUUAUGUCGAAUGUGAAAACCCUUAACUUAACUGAGGAAGUGCAUCCGAAACUAACAAACUAGAGUACUAAAGAAAAUCGCGGAAUUCCCAAUGUAAAGGUGAAAUUCGUAGAUAUCAAAAAGAACACCAAUAACAAAGACAACGACCUGGGUAGAUACUGACACUGAGAUGCGAAAGCGUAAAAAGCAAACAGG